rnacentral:misc_RNA from 1 species
GAGAAAAGCUUUUUUUGUUCGUCAGUUGGAUUCGCUAACCACCGGCAAAAGAUCCAUGCAGCCCCAAUGACCGAGGAUACCGAGAGCAUCGCCAGAAAACCAAAAUGUGAAACAUCAUUUGCAAUUAUAGCGACACCUAACAUUACAAACUCUGCAAGACUCGCAAUUGAAACCUCUGUCGCCCCUAAUAAGUUUGCUUUGUUA